AUGUCAAGUCCUAAUGUCCUGGCACAUAUUAAGCCUUGAGGAAGUCUCACAGAGGGUAGUGAUUCUCUGCUGAGCAAUAAUCCAAGCUGUUCCAGUCUGAUCUCUUGUUCAUAAAUAUUCAGGUCCCUUGCACAUAUAAAAUAUACUUAUACCUUACCAAGAUCCCACAAAGUCUCAGCAAAUUAUAAAACAGGCUCAAAGUCCUUACAAUUUUUAUCAGAUCUUAUAUCUGAUCUUACAAUUUAUGUCAGACUGGGUAUGCUCCUCUUAACCUAAAAAUCUAGGUGCAAAAAAAUGACAAGUUAAUUGCCCAUGACACACCCAACAUUAAACGGUUGAACAAGGACAGCACAAUCUGGAUAUUAGCCCUUUGUCAGAUCAGUAGGUUGUGAAGAUUUUCUCCCAUUUUGUGGUUUGCCUGUUCACUCUGAUGGUAGUUUCUUUUGCUGUGCAGAAGCUCUUUAGUUUAAUUAGAUCCCAUUUGUCAAUUUUGGCUUUUGUUGCCAUUGCUUUUGGUGUUUUAGACAUGAAGU
rnacentral:lncRNA from 1 species